rnacentral:rRNA from 1 species
GACGAACGCUGGCGGCGUGCUUAACACAUGCAAGUCGAACGGAAAGGCCCUGCUUUUGUGGGGUGCUCGAGUGGCGAAAGGGUGAGUAACACGUGAGUAACCUGCCCUUGACUUUGGGAUAACUUCAGGAAACUGGGGCUAAUACCGGAUAGGAGCUCCUGCUGCAUGGUGGGGGUUGGAAAGUUUCUGCGGUUGGGGAUGGACUCGCGGCUUAUCAGCUUGUUGGUGGGGUAGUGGCUUACCACGGCUUUGACGGGUAGCCGGCCUGAGAGGGUGACCGGCCACAUUGGGACUGAGAUACGGCCCAGACUCCUACGGGAGGCAGCAGUGGGGAAUAUUGCACAAUGGGCGGAAGCCUGAUGCAGCAACGCCGCGUGCGGGAUGACGGCCUUCGGGUUGUAAACCGCUUUCGCCUGUGACGAAGCGUGAGUGACGGUAAUGGGUAAAGAAGCACCGGCUAACUACGUG